rnacentral:lncRNA from 7 species
CUUAGCUCCACUCUGUUUCCAAAGGAUAGGUAGAAUCCUAAUACUAUCAGUAUCACUUAAAUGUUAGUCCAUACACCUUCCAGAACUGGACAGUUCGUGGAGCUUGUUACCAAGUUUUAGUUUGGUGUUUGAGCGUUUUAAAAUUCAGAUUCUGUUGUUUUCUAGCUUUGGCCAUUACAUUUUUACAUACAAACAUGUAUAUGUAUACAAAUCAUAAAGCUUCAUUUUUACACCUUUGACAGAACAUGUUAAGGUUAGGUUUCAGUGUGAGCUCUAAAUUUGUAAAAGCAAAUCAUACCAGCAUUCAACAUUUCUUUUCAGCUUUCAACCUCUGAAGAAAAUAUAGGGAGAAUGAAAAAUUGCUGCAAAAUGUUUAGAGUGACAGUUUUGCUCGUCAAUGUUUAGUUUUGCAAGAUAGCUGGGGAGCUCAUCUGAAGAGUGCUUGUAGAAAACGCUUAAAAACAGCAGUGCUGAGCCCAACUAUACCUGUAUGCUGAUAGAAAUCUGUUCUAGGUGUGAUCUCACAGAAAAUCUGUAAGAGAAUAAAAAACUGAACCUAGAAUUUCUGACUGUUUCAGCAGAGUGGGAACAUCAGAGCUGCCUAAUGGGCUAAUGAGAAGUGUUCUACAGUGUUCCUACAUCUCAUACUGGAAUGCAAAACAGACAGCAUUCAAUAAACCAUCCCAGGUUUGAGCUAUCUUUUCCCUGCAGGCACUGUCAUCUCCUAGCAGAUGGUGGUUUAAAGUUCUUUUACAUCACAGGCCACAUUGAGACAGUCAUUCCAAAUAAAUGCCAAAAGAUUUACCUUCCAUGAUGUUGUCUAUUCCGCUCUCAAUUCUGUAUGUUACUGCAGUUUCACACUUUGUGGAGAACAGCAGCAGAAUUUUGUCCUGCUUUGAACAUAAAACACUUCUGUUUCCUUGCCUUAAACCAUCUGCCUGAGCAACUACUGUAUUUCCUAUGUCUGUCAUAAAUCAACUGAAGUUAACAAUGUUUUUUAUUGAGUUCUUACCCGGUGAAUUAUAACUGAGAUGCUCAAACUCAUCUAAAAGUUAGAUAUUUUAUCUUAACGGACAACUGAAGAAAGAUAAUACACAUGGUAAAAAAGAAACCAGCAGCUCCCUCAGGAAGUGUUGUGUCUUUUUUUCUUCCUGAUUCUCUACCUCUGUCUAAGCAGUGGAAUUUGAAUUACACCAAAAGCUACAAAAAAUCUUGUGGAUUUUGUAACAAACAGAGCAGAAUACAUCUGCAUGAUAAUGUUAUUCUGAUAGGCGGUAGCUUAAACUCGUUGUUUGGUGCUCUCAAUCUAAUAAUGGUCAGAUCUCUAAGGAAAAUGCCUAAUAGAGCUAAAGCUUCCAGAGAUUUUCUUUUACAUGUGAAAUCUUCCUUGCAACUUGGUGAUGGUGGAGUCAACCUCCAAAUUGCCUGCACAGAGU